rnacentral:rRNA from 1 species
AGAGUUUGAUUUAUGACUCAGGACGAACGCGGCGGCGUGCUUAACACAUGCAAGUCGAGCGGAAAGGCCCUUCGGGGUACUCGAGCGGCGAACGGGUGAGUAACACGUGAGUAAUCUGCCCCUAGCUCUGGGAUAGCUCCGGGACACCGGGAUUAAUACGGGAUACGACCACAUUAGACAUCUUUUGUGGUGGAAAGAAUUUCGGCUAGGGAUGAGCUCGCGGCCUAUCAGCUUGUUGGUGGGGUAACGGCCUACCAAGGCGACGACGGGUAGCCGGCCUGAGAGGGCGACCGGCCACACUGGGACUGAGACACGGCCCAGACUCUUACGGGAGGCAGCAGUGGGGAAUAUUGCGCAAUGGGCGAAAGCCUGACGCAGCGACGCCGCGUGGGGGAUGAAGGCCUUCGGGUUGUAAACCCCUUUCAGCAGGGACGAAGCGAAAGUGACGGUACCUGCAGAAGAAGCGCCGGCUAACUACGUGCCAGCAGCCGCGGUAACACGUAGGGCGCAAGCGUUGUCCGGAAUUAUUGGGCGUAAAGAGCUCGUAGGCGGUCUGUUGCGUCCGCUGUGAAAACUCGGGGCUUAACCCCGAGCCUGCAGUGGAUACGGGCAGACUAGAGGCAGGUAGGGGAGAAUGGAAUUCCCGGUGUAGCGGUGAAAUGCGCAGAUAUCGGGAGGAACACCGGUGGCGAAGGCGGUUCUCUGGGCCUUACCUGACGCUGAGGAGCGAAAGCGUGGGGAGCGAACAGGAUUAGAUACCCUGGUAGUCCACGCCGUAAACGUUGGGCGCUAGGUGUGGGAUCCUUCCACGGAUUCCGUGCCGCAGCUAACGCAUUAAGCGCCCCGCCUGGGGAGUACGGCCGCAAGGCUAAAACUCAAAUGAAUUGACGGGG